UUGAACCCUCCUUCAUUGUAAUAAAUGACAAAAUGUCACACGAAGUGCAAAUUACAAUGAAGGAUGGUGUAGGAUAAAAGAGGAUGAAGGAGGUAUCAUAAAGAAGGAGGUGUCAUAAAGAACAAGAUCUGGGAAGUGGCAAAUUGCAUGAUGCAUCCCAUUGAUAAAGCUAAGCUGAACCCAAACAGCCCAAAUGCAUAAAAAGAUUCAACCGAUCACUCCGAUGGUCAAGAACAGAAAAUGGCGUCGUAAAUAAUCAAGUCUAUACUUUGCUAAUUGACACUGUCAAAAUGUACAAAUACUCACUUGAAAUAAUGUAACUUGGUACAGAUAUAGCCGUUGGUACUAUUAAUUACAAUCUUUUGAUAG